CCUACGGGGGGCAGCAGUGGGGAAUAUUGGACAAUGGGGGCAACCCUGAUCCAGCCAUGCCGCGUGUGUGAAGAAGGCCCUCGGGUUGUAAAGCACUUUCAGUGAGGAAGAACGCCUGGUGGUUAAUACCCAUCAGGAAAGACAUCACUCACAGAAGAAGCACCGGCUAACUCCGUGCCAGCAGCCGCGGUAAUACGGAGGGUGCGAGCGUUAAUCGGAAUUACUGGGCGUAAAGCGCGCGUAGGUGGCUUGAUAAGCCGGUUGUGAAAGCCCCGGGCUCAACCUGGGAACGGCAUCCGGAACUGUCAAGCUAGAGUGCAGGAGAGGAAGGUAGAGUUCCCGGUGUAGCGGUGAAAUGCGUAGAGAUCGGGAGGAAUACCAGUGGCGAAGGCGGCCUUCUGGACUGACACUGACACUGAGGUGCGAAAGCGUGGGUAGCAAACAGGAUUAGAUACCCGAGUAGUC
rnacentral:rRNA from 1 species